UAGUAUAUGUAGAAUUAUAUACUAAUUUUUGAUACCGUCAUUUCUGUAUUUCAUGAAUAAAAUUAAACUAAAUUUGAUUCAUCUAAAUCAGAUAUAUAUUAAUCUUGAUGAAAAUUUUUUUUAAUAAUUAAAGGUAUUAACAUGCUUCCACGGAUAAGAAAAAGUCAGCCGCGAUCUGUUAUUUUCAUUGCCACAAUAUUUGGAGUUUUUAGUGGAGUUUACAUUUGGAAACCUUUAUUUGAAGAAAAAACAAAAGAAUUAGAAGUGAAAGUAACAUCUGAAUCAUCAUAAUGACAAGUAUCAUCAGCUCUUCAUUUCAAAAAGUAAAUACUUUAGUACGUAAGGCUAUUGGAAAAAAGACAUUAAUUUUAUUGGGGUUGUAAAUGUAGCCCUAUUAUUUCACCAUUUCGUAAGGCCAGAAAUUUACGCAAGAAGACGAAAAGCUCGAUCCUCAGAAGCAGAUUACCUUUAUGAGAUGGAAAAACGACAAUUACAGCCAAAGUGACCAUUUUAAUAUAAGUAUAUUUUCUACUUGUAAAUGAUGUAGUCAAUAAAUUAUUGUUUAAUUGCCUCUACAAAUAA